CUCUCAUGGCGGCCUUGAUUCAGAGGUUUGAGAAGACUACCAAGCACCAGAGCCAGCUAACAGGUGGACCAAACAUCAAGCCAGAAUUCUGCAUGAGUCAGAAUCUUUUGAUAAUAUUGCCCAAUGCAACAAAUGGAAAAAGCAUGCUUUAUGACAACCUCAGCAGCAGAACCCAUGACUUUCUCCUGGGUAGACGAGACAAAAAAGUUUGGUAUCAACACCCAUCUAACAAUUAAGAAAGUUAUCUGCAGCCACACAUCCACUGUAUACCAAGUUAUGAUGAACAAUUAUGAAAAUGCAAAAGGAUUGAUAGAUCAGUAAACAAGCAACAAAAAGAUGGGUGCUCAUGGUGGCCUCCAAAUAAAUACAUGGACAGGCUGCUAAAGAGGGUCAGGAUGAUGGAGAUGCAAGAGCCAAAGACAGCACAGACCAAACACCAGGCCAGAAUUCUGCAUGAGUCAGAUUGAGUAAUUUUCACUCUAGAGACCCUUGGGUGACCACCAAGGACGAAUGCAAACUCCAGUGAGUGUCUCUAAGGUAGAUCCUAAUGCAGAUGGAUGCCUAACAUGCAAGAGCACUCGUUUUGAGUCCUGAGACCCUGGGGUGACCACCGUGAACAAAUACAGAAGCACUCAAAUUGAGUCCUGAGACCCUGGGGUGACCACCGUGAACAAAUACAGACUGCAAUAGCAGUCUUGACAGUACUAGGAUGAAUGCAAAUAAAGACUAACCACCUGACAUCAGCUGUCCAGUCUCUUGUGGGAAGCAGGUGCUUGUUACCCCAAAUACGGAUGAAGAGUGACGAAGAGGAUGAUGACUUU